rnacentral:rRNA from 1 species
UACGUAGGGUGCAAGCGUUGUCCGGAAUUAUUGGGCGUAAAGAGCUCGUAGGCGGUUUGUCGCGUCUGCUGUGAAAACUCGGGGCUCAACCCCGAGCCUGCAGUGGAUACGGGCGGACUAGAGUGCGGUAGGGGAGACUGGAAUUCCUGGUGUAGCGGUGAAAUGCGCAGAUAUCAGGAGGAACACCGGUGGCGAAGGCGGGUCUCUGGACCGAUACUGACACUGAGGAGCGAAAGCGUGGGGAGCGAACAGG